CUCAAUGACUUGACAUGUUCUGGUUGUGAAUUCAGGCUACAAGGGGUCACUGCUCUAAAAUGGGGAACAAUCUCUCUGGGGAACAUGACACCAAAGCUAAGAGCCCAAUCAAGCAGGAGAGACCAGCCUCCCCUGUACCCAGCUGUGUGUCCAUGAAGAGUGACAGGUCUAUGGAUCGUCCUAUAAAGUUUAGAGAGGGAGACUUUACU